AAUUCUCAUACGAUCACCAAAGUUAAGCAAUGUUGAGCCUGGUCAGUAUUUAAAUAGGUAACCACUUGGGAAUUCCAGGUGCUGUAA